GGCCAAGUAGCUCAGUUGGCUAGAGCAUUGGCUGUACUAAUGCCGUCCCCUUGCUGGUGUGGGUUCAAAUCCCAACGAGGCCG
rfam:Schistocephalus solidus strain NST_G2 genome assembly, scaffold: SSLN_scaffold0007604